CGUUUUAAAAAAUAGAUGUAAAUUUCACAUAACGUCUGAUUUACCAUCGUAGACAUUUUUUUGUUUGAUUUGUUUUGUUUUUUGAGACAGGGUCUCACUAUGUAGUUCAGGCUGGCCUGGAACUCAUGGUGAUCCUCCUGCCUCAGCCUCCCAAGUGCUGGGAUGACAGCUGCAGGCCACCAUGCUCCUGGCUGCCUUGGGAAGUUUGAUAGGGGAACAGGGAAGACAGACACAGCUUGUGCUGAAGCAAAUAGUGCCUGCCCCGGUGGGCAUCAAAGUCCUUGUGUACAAGUCCUGAGGCCCAGGGUGGGGGCACUGGGCUCUGGGGACAGCAGGCUGGAAGGGAAAUCACUUGAUUUCCUAUGCUACUUCCCACCUUGCCAGCAGUUUUGCUAAAAUGCCAUAGUCUCAUCUCAAAAGCUCAUCUAUGACAGUUGGUGACUCGGAGGCUCACAGAUGGGAUGCACCCCCUGCCCCAGGGCUGAGCUGGGAAGAGGGAUGGGAAGAUGAAUUGCCGCUGCCUGGAAGGGUUUUCUGGGUGGAAGGGUCCAUCGUGGGGAAAGGCUCAGGGGUCCUCCAUGUCUGGGGAUGGACAGCAGAUGGGCUAGGAAGGCUUGGUGGAGAAUAUGAUGCUGAGGUCCAUGAGGGCUAAUGACAGAGGUUCUUUUGUUAUUAAGCAUCUACUGUGUGCCAGAUCCCAUCCUGGCCCUCCUGAGGCCAAAGUCUAGGAGGAAAGUGAACAAAAAACAAAAAGAACCCCACCUCAUCAAUUCCAGAAUUCAUGAGGUUGUAAUCUAAGUGGUAUUUGGCAAAUCUGGACAUUAUCUUGAGAGCAAUAGGGAGCUGUACAAGGGCUUAGAGUGAGGGGAGGCCUGCUCAGAUUCAGAUGUGAGAAAGAUACCCAGGGCGAACUCCAUGAUGCUGUUGGGGGGGGGGUGUUUGUAAAUUGCCCCACUGGGAGGCUACUUGGGCAAGCUGAUCUUCUUACCAAGUACUGAUUAAGCACCUUGUAUCUACCAAGCAUUGCUUUACCAACCUGUGUUAUGCAAGCAUACAUAAAAUGAUAGAUUUCACUGUUGGGCCAUACUAAGCUACCUUCUGAGGUCUCAUCUCUGCAGUUACAGCACCGGCCUGUGCAUUGCACUCAGGGGACUCGCUUCUCCUGCCACAACUCGUGAGAAGCAGAUGACCAGUACUCGGAGGAGAGUGCUGGCCUAGCACUCUCAAGGGCCUGCGUUCUGUCCCCAGCAUGGAAGAAUAAUAAGGUGGGGACUGGUAACUUGGGGCCCAGAGAGUGCCUGGCUGGAGGGUGCACACCAGAAAUCCAACCGAGACUGCCGGUUGUGGACUAAAAGGAUUCCAUGGACGCAAAAAGGCUAAAAAAUGUAUUAGAUUGAGAUUCAAGGGCCAAGGAUUUAGCUCAGUGGUUCCGCUGCCUGCUGCGCAAGAGCAAGGACCCAAGUUCGAUCCCUGGUACCAAAAAAAAAAAAAAAACGAUUGAGAUUCAAGGUAUCGUGUGUAAUAGAGCAAUCUGAGCUUUUAAAUGUUAUUUAACAUUUUUAAUUGUGUGGCUUUCAAACACAGCAAUCCCAGCUCUGGGGGUCUCUGUAAAAGUAAGUAAAGCUGCCGGAUAAGGUGGUGCAUACCCGUGACCCCAGGACUCUGGGAGGCUGAGGCCGGAGGAUCACAAGUUGGGAGUCCAACCUGGGCUAUUUAGCAAUUUAGCAAGACUCUGGCUCAAAAUAAAAAAUAAGUCGGGCGUGGUGGUGCACGCCUGUAAUUCCAGCAUUUGGGAGGCUGAGGCAGGAGGAUUGGUGCAAGUUCAAGGCCAGCCUGAACUACAUAGUGAGACCUAGUGUGGGGAUCGGUGUCAGCCAAAAAGCUUCAUUUUAAUUUUACCCUCUGUUAUAAAUAGCCAGGAGACUAUGUAAUGGGGAACCAUGUCUCCGCUAACUCCGAUGUUUCCCUUUAGAGAUUGCCCUAGCAACAAGAUGAACCUUCUGUAACCCCAGGAAACAAAGUAGCCCAUGAGGGCGAGGAGUGUCUAGAAAACUAGCAAACAAGGAAGCAGGUGUUUUUUUGUAUAAAGGUCAUGAUUAAUGACCUAACUCACUGAGGGUAUAAAAGAGAGGUGUAAAUAAACUUGCUUGCUCGGUCUUGGGAGCCCUCCCGACUCUGUCUCUUCUCUUGAUUUUUCUCAGUCGUCCUUUCCCCCAUUCAGGAACUGUUCGACUGGUGACUGCUGGUCCGUCACAACCUAGUCUCAAAAAAAUUUUUUUAAUUUAAAAAAAGGGCUUGGCUUGGUGUGUAGCCCAGUGCGAAGGCCCUGGGUUCCAUCCCCAGUCUAAAAAAAAGAAAGAAAAAGCAUGAUGUUUAAGUUCAGAACUAGACCUCUCAGGGUUUGAAACCUAGUCACCACUUUCUUAGCAGUGUGCCUUCAAACCAAUAGUUGACUCCUCUGAGGCUCCGUUUUCCCUUCUAGACAAUGAGACUAACAGACCAAUCGCUUCUCAAGGUUGCUAUGGGGGAGUGCACACGUUAAUAUUUACUGUGAAGCCCUUCCUGCCGGGGAGGAAUCUUUAGAAGAGGGGAGUUCAACCGACUUUUGAAAAUUCAACUUUUCAAAGGAUUCGCCCAAGGCUGCCAGCAGGGGGCAGCAGAGAACCACGCCUGUGCUUCGCCGCGGAGCCUUCGCUCGAAAUGGUCGAGCAUUUAGGGAAUGCCAGUUGUAUCCCGAGCGCUGCGCUGAGGGAUUGGGGAUCUAAGGUACUCUCGUGGUUUCUGUCCUAGAAUUUGCGAAAGGCACCCCGUCCGAACUGUGCAGCUGGUCCCUGAAGCGUGCAGAUUUGUCUGCUACAGCUCCCUCCCCUCUUCCCUCCCGGGGUCGCCUCUGGCCUCGGCCUUCCAGAGGAUGGAAGCCGGGCGCUGGGGUCACAUGGAGGUCGAAAUUGCGCGCAAGCCCCCGGCUUCUGCAUUUGCGGAACGACCCAAGGAUUUUGCGUUCUCUCCCCAAGGCCCUGGUUUCCCUUCUGUAAAAUGGGGCUUAGGGGAGAAUGCGCCGUCCAGAAUUAUUGUGUAGGUCAAAAUUAAUGAAAGUGGACUAAUAUGAAUUCGGGGGCAUCACUCCUAACUUGAGCUUCAAUAAGCACUUAUUAAGCACCUACUGUGUGCUAUUGCAUGCCCUGGGGAUUCAGGGGUACAACUAUCCCUCACCACGCCCCCAAGGGCUUCGCUCCUCCCCAAUCUCCUCUCCCCGACCCCACCAGGCAGUUUCCGGUCCCUCCACUCAGCUCCGCCUACUCUCCACCCCCUCUUUCCAGAGCCUACGGGAGCAAGGUGGAAAGGGUUAUCUACAUAUUCAUGAGUUCAUCAACCAAUCCACAGCCUGAACUCCGGUCUUUAGCGCCUAGGCGAUUGUGAUGUCACAGGGACGCCUCUUGUGAUCCUUAAAGACGCAGUAACCUCUCCCGAAGAAGGAAGGUUGCAACCACAACUGCAGGAUUCGCUUCGGAGUUUGAAGUGUGCUCCGGCCCAGGACCCAGGGGCUUGAGUGCGGAAGAGCAGUGGUCUAGCCCAUCAUAGCCCACCUGGACCUGUCCCCUCGCCUCUGCCCUCGUCUCUGCCCUCGUCUCUGGACUCUCUCCGUCACAACAAAAUCUGCAGAGACAUCACUGGAUCUGUGAUUGAACUCCGGACCUCGCGGUUGUGAGGCAGGCAGCAGAACCACUGAGCUAAAUCCCUGGCCCCACCAAACCAAACUAAACCAAACCACAAUGAAAGAAAGGAAGGAAGGAAGGAAGGAAGAAAAGCUCAAACCAAUGACUCACAGGCAAAUUCCAGCGGUGAGCUGUUUGCACUGCGUUCUUGGUUCCCGGCUAAACCUCUCUGAGCCUCAGCCUCUGUUUCAGAGACCAACUGAGUAUUACCAACCUCAGCUCUUGGGCGGACUGGGGGUGACAGUGUGCCCAGCACACCGUAGGAACUGUACAAGUAGCUCUACUCCUCCCUGCGACCCACGGCAGCUUCUGACCCACACUCAGUGGCCACCAUUGCCUCCCUUCAAGCCAUGAGCUCCGCCCCUCCAGGUCUCUCAAUCCCGGGCUUCGGGCUGAAGUGAGACCAUUGUCCCAGCCAGG
ensembl:lncRNA